AACAGAAAAGCCCACAUCAGUGUGCAUUUGCAAUCACAAAAAUAAACGCCGGCCACAAUGACCUUGUUUUCAACAUAAACAUGAAGAUCGCAAAUGGAUGCAAUGCCACAGAGAUUUUCCCAGGACUUUUUCACAACUGCCUCGUGGCAGUGAAACGAGUUGCCAAGCAUAUUUCCCAAAAAGAGUUGGAAAUGGCUCAUUACUUGUGUUCAGACAGUUCAACUUUACAAGCAGAGCAUCUUUCUAUUUGCCCUGCAAGAUGGAAUAGGCAAAUUCAAAGGAAAAUCUCUGGAAGAAAUAACACCCAACAUCAACUCUGAGCAGGACCUGAGCGACUCAGAUGCAGAGGAAGUCCAAUCUGAGCAGACUGCAACACCAAGUCAAGAAGGAAACUCAGAGGGUGGACAUUCAGAUCACAGGGCUGCUACCUCAAAGAAGAAAACUGGGGUCAUAAAAAACUCAAAUCAAAAGGAGAAACCAAGAAGGCCCUGGUCACAGUCUGAGAGAAAAAUCGUGGAACACCAUUUCAAGGACUUCCUGGAGGAAAUGAAGCUCCCUGGAAAAGUAGACUGUCAAAGAUGCUUAAAUGAAAAUCAGACUCUAAGGGACAAUGGAAGAGACUGGAAAACCAUAAA